AAUAGAUACCCGGGUAGUCCACGCCGUAAACGAUGGAUGCUAGCUGUUAUGCGUAUCGACCCGUGUAGUAGCGAAGCUAACGCGUUAAGCAUCCCGCCUGGGGAGUACGAACGCAAGUUUAAAACUCAAAGGAAUUGACGGGGACCCGCACAAGCGGUGGAGCGUGUUCUUUAAUUCGAGGCUAAGCGAAGAACCUUACCAGGGCUUGACAUCCUUGGAAUUUCUCCGAAAGGAGAGAGUACUUUAUUGGACCAAGUGACAGGUGCUGCAUGGCCGUCGUCAGCUCGUGUCGUGAGAUGUUUGGUUAAGUCCAUUAACGAGCGCAACCCUUAUGAAUAGUUGUAUUUUUCUAUUCAGACUGCCCCGGUAACGGGGAGGAAGGGGGGGAUGAUGUCAAAUCAUCAUGCCCCUUAUGUCUAGGGCUACACACGUGCUACAAUGGCAAGUACAAAGAGAAGCAAGACCGCGAGGUGGAGCAAAACUCAAAAACUUGUCUCAGUUCGGAUUGUAGGCUGAAACUCGCCUACAUGAAGCUGGAGUUGCU
rnacentral:rRNA from 1 species